rnacentral:rRNA from 1 species
UACGGCCAUACUACCCUGAAUGCGCCCGAUCUCGUCUGAUCUAGGAAGCUAAGCAGGGUUGGGCCUGGUUGGUACUUGGAUGGAAGUUGUUCAGGCUAUGCCUGAAU